GCCUUCGUAGUGUAGUGGUCAGCACGCUCGACGCGUAUUCGAGAGGUCCGUGGUUCGAGUCCCGGCGAGGGCA
rnacentral:tRNA from 2 species